rnacentral:rRNA from 1 species
CUACGUGCCAGCAGCCGCGGUAAUACGUAGGGGGCAAGCGUUAUCCGGAUUUACUGGGUGUAAAGGGAGCGUAGACGGAAUGGCAAGUCUGAAGUGAAAUACCCGGGCUCAACCUGGGAACUGCUUUGGAAACUGUUGUUCUAGAGUGUUGGAGAGGUAAGUGGAAUUCUUGGUGUAGCGGUGAAAUGCGUAGAUAUCAGGAAGAACACCGGAGGCGAAGGCGGCUUACUGGACAAUAACUGACGUUGAGGCUCGAAAGCGUGGGGAUCAAACAGGAUUAGAUACCCUGGUAGUCCACGCUGUAAACGAUGAAUACUAGGUGUCGGGGUGCAAAGCAUCUCGGUGCCGUCGCUAACGCAAUAAGUAUUCCACCUGGGGAGUACGUUCGCAAGAAUGAAACUCAAAGGAAUUGACGGGGACCCGCACAAGCGGUGGAGCAUGUGGUUUAAUUCGACGCAACGCGAGGAACCUUACCAGCGUUUGACA